AAAAUUAAAGGUUGUUUGGGGUUGUGGGAAAUGCAAUUUAUUUUGUACAACCAUGUACAUUUUUGUCUUGUAGGGAUCCCUCAGGUCCAGGUUGAACUACAGUAUUUGGGCAUCGCCUGUGCUGUUCUUGCAGCUCUUCUUCUGGCCUCCAUCUCCAUCUUCUCAGCAAUCAUCGUCAGAUUACAGAAACAGAAGAAAAUCUUCAUACGAAAUGCAUCACUUCCCAGGAGCAAUGAGAGCUGGAGCUCGAGAGAAAGCAAGUAUCCAGUUUCAUCACCACCGAUAUUAACGAUGUGUCCGACCUCCAGCCCUAGACUCCAGAGCAGAGAGCCCGUGCCUGCAGCCAUCCCACAGGUGCCCACCAUAACCACGACGCUGGAUGAUGAAGAGGAUUAUGGGUUCAGUAGUGCACCCCCACUGCCUCUGGUGACAUUUCAUGAUUCCUUCCGAAAUCCAGAAGAAAAAGAGACUCAAGGAGCAGCAAUGGAUGGACGCAGGGACUUGAACCAGCUCAGGAGGCCACGGUCAGCAUGCUCAAGGCGCUCAUCCAGCACAUCAUCAGAGGAGCAGAACUGGUAUGAAAAUUACAGACAAAAAGUCGGCCACCAGAAUUGGCUGCACCCACCACAACCUUAUGAAGGAUCCUCUGAGUAUGAUGAUGUCAGUUCUGUUGCUUCCAAUUGAUAUAAAGUGCGAUGGACCACUCUGAAGGAUCAGCUUACUAUUCACUGAAGCCUUCUAUCCAGACUAACUCCUGAGACCACAGCUCGCUGUUACCUGAAGACUUCUCUACAGACGGACCACUCUCAGGUCACAGCUCACUGUUAUCUGAAGCUUUCUCUACAGACGGACCACUCUCAGGUCACAGCUCACUGUUAUCUGAAGCCUACUCUACAGAUGGACCACUCUCCGGUCACAGCUCACUGUUAUCUGAAGCCUACUCUAUAGAAGGACCACUCUCAGGUCACAGCUCACUGUUAUCUGAAGCCUACUCUACAGAAGGACCACUCUCAGGUCACAGCUCACUGUUAUCUGAAGCUUUCUCUACAGAAGGACCACUCUCAGGUCACAGCUCACUGUUAUCUGAAGCCUACUCUACAGAAGGACCACUCUCAGGUCACAGCUCACUGUUAUCUGAAGCUUUCUCUACAGACGGACCACUCUCAGGUCACAGCUCACUGUUAUCUGAAGCCUACUCUACAGAAAGACCACUCUCAGGUCACAGCUCACUGUUAUAUGAAGCUUUCUCUACAGACGGACCACUCUCAGGUCACAGCUCACUGUUAUCUGAAGCCUACUCUACAGAAGGACCACUCUUAGGUCACAGCUCACUGUUAUCUGAAGCCUACUCUACAGAAGGACCACUCUCAGGUCACAGCUCACUGUUAUCUGAAGCUUUCUCUACAGACGGACCACUCUCAGGUCACAGCUCACUGUUAUCUGAAGCCUACUCUACAGAAAGACCACUCUCAGGUCACAGCUCACUGUUAUCUGAAGCUUUCUCUACAGAAGGACCACUCUCAGGUCACAGCUCACUGUUAUCUGAAGCUUUCUCUACAGACGGACCACUCUUAGGUCACAGCUUACCGUUAUCUGAAGCCUUCUCUCCACACUGACCACUCUCAGGUCACAGCUCA